rnacentral:rRNA from 1 species
UACGGAGGGUGCAAGCGUUAUCCGGAUUCACUGGGGUUAAAGGGUGCGUAGGUGGGCAGGUAAGUCAGUGGUGAAAUCUCUGGGCUUAACCCAGAAACUGCCGUUGAUACUAUCUGUCUUGAAUAUAGUGGAGGUGAGCGGAAUAUGUCAUGUAGCGGUGAAAUGCUUAGAUAUGACAUAGAACACCCAUUGCGAAGGCAGCUCGCUACACUAUCAUUGACACUGAGGCACGAAAGCGUGGGGAUCAAACAGG